GAUGAACGCUGGCGGCGUGCUUAACACAUGCCAGUCGAACGGUGAAGGCGGAGCUUGCUCUGCUGGAUUAGUGGCGAACGGGUGAGUAACACGUGAGCAAUCUGCCCCUGACUCUGGGAUAAGCGCUGGAAACGGCGUCUAAUACUGGAUACGAGCUGCGAAGGCAUCUUCAGCAGCUGGAAAGAAUUUCGGUCAGGGAUGAGCUCGCGGCCUAUCAGCUUGUUGGUGAGGUAAUGGCUCACCAAGGCGUCGACGGGUAGCCGGCCUGAGAGGGUGACCGGCCACACUGGGACUGAGACACGGCCCAGACUCCUACGGGAGGCAGCAGUGGGGAAUAUUGCACAAUGGGCGAAAGCCUGAUGCAGCAACGCCGCGUGAGGGACGACGGCCUUCGGGUUGUAAACCUCUUUUAGCAGGGAAGAAGCGAAAGUGACGGUACCUGCAGAAAAAGCGCCGGCUAACUACGUG
rnacentral:rRNA from 1 species